UAGAAAUACCCCUGUAAGACUAAGCAUGUGCUGCUAACGGGUAGAAGUAACGUGUACUUCAUUGUAUCAGGUUAAUUCCUAAGGAUCAGUACUAUUGCGGAGUGCUGUAUUUCACCGGCAGUGAUAUAUUCAACAAGAACAUGCGUACACACGCCCUGGAGAAAGGCUUCACCUUGAACGAAUACACCCUGCGCCCGCUGGGCGUCACAGGAAUGGCAGGUGAACCUCUUCCUGUAGACAGCGAGAAAGACAUCUUUGAUUACAUCCAGUAUAAAUACCGCGAACCCAAGGAUCGCAGCGAGUGAAAGCCGGCCGCUGAGCACUGCAAGAUCGGGGACGUCAGCAACCGCCCUAUAGUGAUACAGAUUGUGAUGUGACCCAGAAGAGUGUGUAUUGUGUGGUACUGAAGCUGUGCGAGCGAUAGUAGUUAGGUAUAUAGCAUGUAAACCUGUUACAUAAGAAUCGUGUUAUUUAACGGGAGCCUCCUACGCGGAACAUGGAAUCCAUGGACAUGGCUCCUCAUGGAUACUUUUUAAUCCAAAUCAUGUGACUGUAGACAAGUAUAAGAGGACUGGGUCCUGACAUGUCUAUGUAAGUACUUGUAAUCCCAAAUCUGGAGCACAUUUAAUUAGAAUGCUGCGUCAUCCCAGUCCUCUAUUAUUCCUCCUGGAUAUGAAAAUGUUGACAACUGGGCAUUACCAUUUCCCUUGUCAAUCAGGUCUAUUGUACUCCCUCUUGCGCUAUAAACACUGGACAGUGUCAGACGGAGUAGCCAUGUGCCUAAUUGAAAGGAUAAAUCCGUUUACUCAUACAGUUCCAGGAGGAAUAACAGAGUAGUAGCACAAUGCAGAGUUCAACGAUGUGCCAGGAUUAUCUGAUGGGGAAUACAAGUAUCAGGCAAGUCAGGAGAGUUGACAGGUCGACUUUAAAGCCUAGAUUGGCCUUUGGUUACAGGAGACACAGGCCAUUAUAAAACUGAAUACAUUACUGAUGGCUGCAGAUUCGGAGGUGGGGGAGGGUUGAUUUUUCCUUUUAAGUUUCCUCUCUUAUUGUUCAGGCAUCCUGUUAACAGUUACAGGAGCGCGAACCGACACUCAUCAUCCAUAUGAAUGGCGUGGAGUAUUUUUUUGUGUAUUUUUAUUCUUUUAUUUUAGUAAGUUAUGGUUUUUACUUUGAUAAUGAGAGUAGUUGACAUUGACUAAAUGUGACAUGCCUGAGCAUACGAAGCCCGUGUAAGCUGUGAACCACAUGGGGCUUGAAAGUAAAAUUGUUGAUUUCUCCUUA